rnacentral:lncRNA from 1 species
GCUGGCGAGGCUGUGGCCGGGUGCUCUGGGGGUUGUGCGGAGGCCCGUGCUGGGCGCGCCUGGGCUCCGGGACCCGCAGGCGGUGGCAGGCACACCGCAGCCCGGGAGUGGGGCCUCUGGUCGGUUGGGCGCUUCUGUGAGGGAGGCCGCGGGGUCCUCGGGUCCCGGCCGGGUCAGCACCGCCCGCAGCCCUCGCGUCCAGGGCGGGGUCGGGGGAGCUGCCGAGGCCUCAGCGGCCGCGUGGCCCCUCUGGGCGCCUGGCCAGGUCGGUGCAGGAGGCACAGGGCACCUGCCUCUCUGGGGAGCCGGCGACGCGCGGGCAGUGGGCCGGGCAUCCCCCAGCGGGCGCGCCGGGCUCUGGGCGGCGGGGAGGGGGCCGGGCAGGGCGGGGGAGGGGGCCGGGGGCCGGGGCCGGGGGCCGGGGGCCGGGGCCGGGAGCCCCGAGCCGGGCCUAGGGCGGCAGCAGCCCCCGCGCGCCCAGGGCGCCGCCCAGCAGCAGGCAGAGGCGCGGGCUGCCCGUGGGUCCGGCGCCCGAGGUCCACGCGCGGAAGCCGUACACGCCUCGGCCCGUCCCGUUGCCGCCCGGGGCCGCGUCCUCGCCGUCGUCGGGGUCGCGCUCCCCCAGGCCCGGGGCCCUCCGCCAGCUGGACCCCGCCGCCAGGCCCGCGGCCGCCCCCGCCCCCGCCGCCGCCCCGCCGCCGCCACGCGCAGCGAGGAGCCCCCGUAGCGCGGCGCCGGCCUCACGCGCACCCGCGGGGCCCCCCGCGCGCCCCCGCGCAGCCCUCCCCGGGCGCUGCCGCGAGCCCCCCCACGGCCGCCCUUGGCCGUGCCGCCGUCGCAGAGGAAGGUGGCGGCCAGCAGCAGCGCCCAGCACGUCGCGGCCGUCCAGUUCAUCGCUGCGGAGCAGACCUGCGGCGGAAGGGGAAAGGGCUCAGCUUCCCGGGGCGGGGGGCCGCGGCUGGGGCCAGGGGGGCCAGGGGUCAGGGGCUCAGGGGGUCAGGGCCUGGGGCCAGAGGGUCGGGGGCUCGGAGACCAGGGCCAGGGAGUCAGGGGGCCAGGGGCUGGGCACAGGGGGCUCGAGGGGCCAGGGGUCCAGGGCCUGGGUCCAGGGGUCAGGGGGCCGGGGCUGGGGACAGGGGUCAGGGCCUCAGGAACCAGGGGGGCCAGGGGCUGGGCACAGGGGGCUCGGGGGGCCAGGGUGUCAGGGUCUGGGGAGGCUCAGGGACCAGGAGCUCAGGGCCCAGGGGGCCAGGGCCUAGGGACAGGGGGCUCAGGAGCUCAGGGACUGGGGAGACUCAGGGACAGGGGGCUCAGGGGCUCAAGAUCUGGGGGCUCAGGGUCCAGGAGGCUCAGGGCCCUGGGGGGCCCAGGGCCUGGGACACGGGGCUUAGGGACCAGGGGGGCCAGGGGGCUCAGGGUCUGGGGGCUCAGGGACCGGGGAGCCAUGGCCGGGGCUCAGCGUUGGGCGCUCCGCGGCCACCAGCAUCCUGA